AGACGGAGGGCGCAAGCGUUGUUCGGAAUUACUGGGCGUAAAGCGCGGGCAGGUGGUCUGUUAAGUCGUUUGUGAAAAUCCGGGGCUCAACCCCGCGAAAUGCAGACGAUACUGGCAGGCUGGAGAUCGGUAGAGGCUAGCGGAAUUCCUGGUGUAGCGGUGGAAUGCGUAGAUAUCAGGAAGAACACCUGUGGCGAAGGCGGCUAGCUGGGCCGGUUCUGACACUGAACUGCGAAAGCGUGGGGAGCAAACAGGAUUAGAUACCCCAGUAGUCC
rnacentral:rRNA from 1 species